CCUACGGGGGGCAGCAGUGGGGAAUAUUGGACAAUGGGGGCAACCCUGAUCCAGCCAUGCCGCGUGUGUGAAGAAGGCCCUCGGGUUGUAAAGCACUUUCAGUGAGGAAGAACGCCUGGUGGUUAAUACCCAUCAGGAAAGACAUCACUCACAGAAGAAGCACCGGCUAACUCCGUGCCAGCAGCCGCGGUAAUACGGAGGGUGCGAGCGUUAAUCGGAAUUACUGGGCGUAAAGCCCGCGUAGGUGGCUUGAUAAGCCGGUUGUGAAAGCCCCGGGCUCAACCUGGGAACGGCAUCCGGAACUGUCAAGCUAGAGUGCAGGAGAGGAAGGUAGAAUUCCCGGUGUAGCGGUGAAAUGCGUAGAGAUCGGGAGGAAUACCAGUGGCGAAGGCGGCCUUCUGGACUGACACUGACACUGAGGUGCGAAAGCGUGGGUAGCAAACAGGAUUAGAUACCCCAGUAGUC
rnacentral:rRNA from 1 species